rnacentral:rRNA from 1 species
CAAUAGCAUAUAUUAACGUUGUUGCAGUUGAAUAGCUCGUAGUUGAACUUUUGGUAGGAGCGACCUGGCCUUGGGCGCAUGCCCUUGUUUGCCGUGUGUCGUAUCUGGCCAUCCUUUUCCGCUUCGGCGGGAAUCCUUUACUGUGAGUAAACUGGAGUGCUCAAAACAAGACGUUUGUUUGGUACAUUAAAGCAUGGAAUAAUAAGAUAGGACCUGGUUACUAUUUUGUUGGUUUGCAUAGCUAGGUAAUGAUUAACAGGGACAGUUGGGGGUAUUCGUAUUUAAUUGUCAGAGGUGAAAUUCUUGGAUUUAUGAAAGACGAACGACUGCGAAAGCAUUUACCAAGGAUGUUUUCAUUAA